UGCAAGUCGAACGGCAGCAUGAUCUAGCUUGCUAGAUUGAUGGCGAGUGGCGAACGGGUGAGUAAUACAUCGGAACGUGCCCUGUAGUGGGGGAUAACUGGUCGAAAGAUUAGCUAAUACCGCAUACGACCUGAGGGUGAAAGUGGGGGACCGCAAGGCCUCAUGCUAUAGGAGCGGCCGAUGUCUGAUUAGCUAGUUGGUGGGGUAAAGGCCCACCAAGGCGACGAUCAGUAGCUGGUCUGAGAGGACGAUCAGCCACACUGGGACUGAGACACGGCCCAGACUCCUACGGGAGGCAGCAGUGGGGAAUUUUGGACAAUGGGGGCAACCCUGAUCCAGCAAUGCCGCGUGUGUGAAGAAGGCCUUCGGGUUGUAAAGCACUUUUGUCCGGAAAGAAAUCGCACUUACUAAUAUUAGGUGUGGAUGACGGUACCGGAAGAAUAAGGACCGGCUAACUACGUGCCAGCAGCCGCGGUAAUACGUAAGGUCCAAGCGUUAAUCGGAAUUACUGGGCGUAAAGCGUGCGCAGGCGGUUGUGCAAGACCGAUGUGAAAUCCCCGGGCUUAACCUGGGAAUUGCAUUGGUGACUGCACGGCUAGAGUGUGUCAGAGGGGGGUAGAAUUCCACGUGUAGCAGUGAAAUGCGUAGAGAUGUGGAGGAAUACCGAUGGCGAAGGCAGCCCCCUGGGAUAACACUGACGCUCAUGCACGAAAGCGUGGGGAGCAAACAGGAUUAGAUACCCUGGUAGUCCACGCCCUAAACGAUGUCAACUAGUUGUUGGGGAUUCAUUUCCUUAGUAACGUAGCUAACGCGUGAAGUUGACCGCCUGGGGAGUACGGUCGCAAGAUUAAAACUCAAAGGAAUUGACGGGGACCCGCACAAGCGGUGGAUGAUGUGGAUUAAUUCGAUGCAACGCGAAAAACCUUACCUACCCUUGACAUGCCACUAACGAAGCAGA
rnacentral:rRNA from 1 species